rnacentral:rRNA from 1 species
GGAGGCAGCAGUAGGGAAUCUUCCGCAAUGGACGAAAGUCUGACGGAGCAACGCCGCGUGAGUGAGGAAGGUCUUCGGAUCGUAAAACUCUGUUGUCAGGGAAGAACCGCCGGGAUGACCUCCCGGUCUGACGGUACCUGACGAGAAAGCCCCGGCUAACUACGUGCCAGCAGCCGCGGUAAUACGUAGGGGGCAAGCGUUGUCCGGAAGUUAUUGGGCGUAAAGCGCGCGCAGGCGGCUUCUUAAGUCAGGUGUGAAAGCCCACGCUCAACCGUGGAGGGCCAUCUGAAACUGGGAGCUUGAGUGCAAGAGGAGAGCGGAAUUCCACGUGCUAGCGGUGAAAUGCGUAGAGAUGUGGAGGAACACCAGUGGCGAAGGCGGCUCUCUGGCCUGUAACUGACGCUGAGGCGCGAAAGCGUGGGGAGCAAACAGGAUUAGAUACCCUGGUAGUCCACGCCGUAAACGAUGAGUGUAGGUGUUGGGGAGUCCACCUCCUCAGUGCAUCGCAGCUAACGCAAUAAGCACUCCGCCUG